rnacentral:rRNA from 1 species
UGCGUAGGUGUCAAGCGUUGUCCGGAAUAACUGGGCGUAAAGGGUGCGUAGGUGGCUAGUUAAGUUAAAUGUGAAAGCCCGGGGCUCAACUCCGGAAUUGCAUUUAAUACUGGUUAGCUAGAGUUCAGGAGGGGUAAGCGGAAUUCCUAGUGUAGCGGUUAAAUGCGUAGAUAUUAGGAGGAACACCAGAGGCGAAGGCGGCUUACUGGACUGACACUGACACUGAGGCACGAAAGCGUGGGGAGCAAACAGG